AGUGAACGCUGGCGGUAGGCCUAAUACAUGCAAGUCGAACGGACGCACAGUAAGAUUUCGCCCCUACCGGUGGCGAGUGGCGGACGGGUGACGCAUACAUCGGAAUCUACUUUUUCGUGGGUGAUAACGUAGGGCAACUUACGCUAACACCUCAUAUGUCCUACCGGUUAAUUCAGGGGAUCUUCGCGCUUUUCCUGUCUGAUAUAGCUGACGCCGCAUUAGCUAGUUGGCGGGGUAAAGGCCCACCAAGGCAACGAUCCGUAGCUGAUCUGAGAGGAUGAUCAGCCACACUGGAACUGAGACACGGUCCAGACUCCUACGGGAGGCAGCAGUGGGGAAUCUUCGACAAUGGGCGCAAGCCUGAUCGAGCCAUGCCGCGUGAGUGAAGAAGGCCUUCGGAUUGUAAAACCCUUUUAUUAGGGAAGAAAAGCUGCGGAUUUAUCCACGGCUGUUCUGACGGUACCCAAAGAAUAAGCCCCGGCUAACUACGUG
rnacentral:rRNA from 1 species